UACGUAGGGUCCGAGCGUUAAUCGGAAUUACUGGGCGUAGAGCGUGCGCAGGCGGUUUUGUAAGCCAGAUGUGAAAUCCCCGGGCUCAACCUGGGAACUGCAUUUGGGACUGCAAGGCUAGAGUACGGCAGAGGGGGGUAGAAUUCCUGGUGUAGCAGUGAAAUGCGUAGAUAUCAGGAGGAAUACCGAUGGCGAAGGCAGCCCCCUGGGUCGAUACUGACGCUCAUGCACGAAAGCGUGGGGAGCAAACAGG
rnacentral:rRNA from 1 species